UACGGAGGGUGCAAGCGUUGUUCGGAUUUACUGGGCGUAAAGCGCGCGCAGGCGGACUAGCAAGUCAGAUGUGAAAUCCCAGGGCUUAACCCUGGAACUGCGUCUGAAACUGUUAGUCUAGAGUCUCACAGGGGGUAGGGGAAUUUCACGUGUAGGGGUAAAAUCCGUAGAGAUGUGAAGGAACACCGGUGGCGAAGGCG
rnacentral:rRNA from 1 species